rnacentral:rRNA from 1 species
AAAUUGAAGAGUUUGAUCAUGGCUCAGAUUGAACGCUGGCGGCAGGCCUAACACAUGCAAGUCGAGCGGUAGCACAGAGAGCUUGCUCUCGGGUGACGAGCGGCGGACGGGUGAGUAAUGUCUGGGAAACUGCCUGAUGGAGGGGGAUAACUACUGGAAACGGUAGCUAAUACCGCAUAAUGUCGCAAGACCAAAGUGGGGGACCUUCGGGCCUCAUGCCAUCAGAUGUGCCCAGAUGGGAUUAGCUAGUAGGUGGGGUAACGGCUCACCUAGGCGACGAUCCUAGCUGGUCUGAGAGGAUGACCAGCCACACUGGAACUGAGACACGGUCCAGACUCCUACGGGAGGCAGCAGUGGGGAAUAUUGCACAAUGGGCGCAAGCCUGAUGCAGCCAUGCCGCGUGUGUGAAGAAGGCCUUCGGGUUGUAAAGCACUUUCAGCGGGGAGGAAGGCGUUAAGGUUAAUAACCUUGUCGAUUGACGUUACCCGCAGAAGAAGCACCGGCUAACUCCGUGCCAGCAGCCGCGGUAAUACGGAGGGUGCAAGCGUUAAUCGGAAUUACUGGGCGUAAAGCGCACGCAGGCGGUCUGUCAAGUCGGAUGUGAAAUCCCGGGCUCAACCGGGAACUGCAUUCGAAACUGGCAGGCUAGAGUCUUGUAGAGGGGUAGAAUUCCGUGUAGCGGUGAAAUGCGUAGAGAUCUGGAGGAAUACCGGUGGCGAAGGCGGCCCUGGACAAAGACUGACGCUCAGGUGCGAAAGCGUGGGGAGCAAACAGGAUUAGAUACCCUGGUAGUCCACGCCGUAAACGAUGUCGAUUUGGAGGUUGUGCCCUUGAGGCGUGGCUUCCGGAGCUAACGCGUUAAAUCGACCGGGGAGUACGGCCGCAAGGUUAAAACUCAAAUGAAUUGACGGGGCCCGCACAAGCGGUGGAGCAUGUGGUUUAAUUCGAUGCAACGCGAAGAACCUUACACGGUCUUGACAUCCACAGAACUUUCCAGAGAUGGAUUGGUGCCUUCGGGAACUGUGAGACAGGUGCUGCAUGGCUGUCGUCAGCUCGUGUUGUGAAAUGUUGGGUUAAGUCCCGCAACGAGCGCAACCCUUAUCCUUUGUUGCCAGCGGUUAGGCCGGGAACUCAAAGGAGACUGCCAGUGAUAAACUGGAGGAAGGUGGGGAUGACGUCAAGUCAUCAUGGCCCUUACGACCGGGCUACACACGUGCUACAAUGGCAUAUACAAAGAGAAGCGACCUCGCGAGAGCAAGCGGACCUCAUAAAGUAUGUCGUAGUCCGGAUUGGAGUCUGCAACUCGACUCCAUGAAGUCGGAAUCGCUAGUAAUCGUAGAUCAGAAUGCUACGGUGAAUACGUUCCCGGGCCUUGUACACACCGCCCGUCACACCAUGGGAGUGGGUUGCAAAAGAAGUAGGUAGCUUAACCUUCGGGAGGGCGCUUACCACUUUGUGAUUCAUGACUGGGGUGAAGUCGUAACAAGGUAACCGUAGGGGAACCUGCGGUUGGAUCACCUCCUUACCUUAAAGAA